CUAGCGACUUCAGAGUUUGAUCCUGGCUCAGGACGAACGCUGGCGGCGUGCUUAACACAUGCAAGUCGAGCGAGGAUCCCGUUGGAAAGCCUUCGGGCCGGAAGACGGGAUUCGAGCGGCGGACGGGUGAGUAACGCGUGAGCGAUCUGUCCCGCACAGGGGGAUAACACUUGGAAACAGGUGCUAAUACCGCAUAAGACCACGAGGCCCCAUGGCCAUGGGGUAAAAGGAGCGAUCCGGUGCGGGGUGAGCUCGCGUCCGAUUAGCUAGUUGGUGAGGUAACGGCCCACCAAGGCGACGAUCGGUAGCCGACCUGAGAGGGUGAUCGGCCACAUUGGAACUGAGACACGGUCCAA
rnacentral:rRNA from 1 species